rnacentral:rRNA from 1 species
UACGUAGGGUGCAAGCGUUGUCCGGAAUUACUGGGUGUAAAGGGUCCGCAGGCGGGCAGACAAGUCGGUGGUGAAAUCCUGUGGCUCAACCACAGAAUAGCCUCCGAUACUGUUUGUCUUGAAUUCGAGAGAGGAUGAUGGAAUUCAUGGUGUAGCAGUGAAAUGCGUAGAGAUCAUGAAGAACACCGGAAGCGAAGGCGGUCAUCUGGCUCGAUAUUGACGCUCAGGGACGAAAGCGUGGGGAG